rnacentral:lncRNA from 1 species
AAAAAAACCUUCAAAAACAACGCUAGUCAUGUAUUGUCAUCAGAACUCAGAGCGUGUGCAAAAUUUCAUCCUAAUCGAAGACCGGGAAGUGGGUCAAAUUUAGAUUCCAAGAUUUUCUUACAUACAUAGUUACAAGUGAAGCUAAAAAAAACGUGUUAAAAAGACAUAAGAAUUAAGAUUAUUUAU